rnacentral:rRNA from 1 species
UUAGAAAUGAAGAAUAAUACCCCAUAGUAAGUAAAUUUCGCAUGGAAAUUACUUUAAAGAUUUAUCGGUCAAAGAUGAGUAUGCGUUCUAUUAGCUAGAUGGUAAGGUAACGGCUUACCAUGGCAACGAUAGAUAGGGGCCCUGAGAGGGGGAUCCCCCACACUGGUACUGAGACACGGACCAGACUCCUACGGGAGGCAGCAGUGAGGAAUAUUGGACAAUGGAGGCAACUCUGAUCCAGCCAUGCCGCGUGCAGGAAGACUGCCCUAUGGGUUGUAAACUGCUUUUAUAUAGGAAGAAACCUUUCCACGUGUGGAGAGCUGACGGUACUAUAAGAAUAAGGAUCGGCUAACUCCGUGCCAGCAGCCGCGGUAAUACGGAGGAUCCAAGCGUUAUCCGGAAUCAUUGGGUUUAAAGGGUCCGUAGGUGGAUAAUUAAGUCAGAGGUGAAAGUUUGCGGCUCAACCGUAAAAUUGCCUUUGAUACUGGUUAUCUUGAAUCAUUGUGAAGUGGUUAGAAUAUGUAGUGUAGCGGUGAAAUGCAUAGAUAUUACAUAGAAUACCAAUUGCGAAGGCAGAUCACUAACAAUGUAUUGACACUGAUGGACGAAAGCGUGGGGAGCGAACGGGAUUAGAUACCCCGGUAGUCCACGCCGUAAACGAUGGUCACUAGCUGUUCGGACUUCGGUCUGAGUGGCUAAGCGAAAGUGAUAAGUGACCCACCUGGGGAGUACGUUCGCAAGAAUGAAACUCAAAGGAAUUGACGGGGGCCCGCACAAGCGGUGGAGCAUGUGGUUUAAUUCGAUGAUACGCGAGGAACCUUACCAGGGCUUAAAUGUAGAUUGCAUUAGCUAGAGAUAGCUAUUUCUUCGGACUAUCUACAAGGUGCUGCAUGGUUGUCGUCAGCUCGUGCCGUGAGGUGUCAGGUUAAGUCCUAUAACGAGCGCAACCCCUGUUGUUAGUUGCCAGCGAGUCAAGUCGGGAACUCUAACAAGACUGCCAGUGCAAACUGUGAGGAAGGUGGGGAUGACGUCAAAUCAUCACGGCCCUUACGUCCUGGGCUACACACGUGCUACAAUGGUAGGGACAGAGAGCAGCCACUGGGCGACCAGGAGCGAAUCUACAAACCCUAUCACAGUUCGGAUCGGAGUCUGCAACUCGACUCCGUGAAGCUGGAAUCGCUAGUAAUCG